GGGUGACGAGCGGCGGACGGGUGAGUAAUGUCUGGGAAACUGCCUGAUGGAGGGGGAUAACUACUGGAAACGGUAGCUAAUACCGCAUAACGUCGCAAGACCAAAGUGGGGGACCUUCGGGCCUCAUGCCAUCAGAUGUGCCCAGAUGGGAUUAGCUAGUAGGUGGGGUAACGGCUCACCUAGGCGACGAUCCCUAGCUGGUCUGAGAGGAUGACCAGCCACACUGGAACUGAGACACGGUCCAGACUCCUACGGGAGGCAGCAGUGGGGAAUAUUGCACAAUGGGCGCAAGCCUGAUGCAGCCAUGCCGCGUGUGUGAAGAAGGCCUUCGGGUUGUAAAGCACUUUCAGCGGGGAGGAAGGCGAUAAGGUUAAUAACCUUGUCGAUUGACGUUACCCGCAGAAGAAGCACCGGCUAACUCCGUGCCAGCAGCCGCGGUAAUACGGAGGGUGCAAGCGUUAAUCGGAAUUACUGGGCGUAAAGCGCACGCAGGCGGUCUGUCAAGUCGGAUGUGAAAUCCCCGGGCUCAACCUGGGAACUGCAUUCGAAACUGGCAGGCUAGAGUCUUGUAGAGGGGGGUAGAAUUCCAGGUGUAGCGGUGAAAUGCGUAGAGAUCUGGAGGAAUACCGGUGGCGAAGGCGGCCCCCUGGACAAAGACUGACGCUCAGGUGCGAAAGCGUGGGGAGCAAACAGGAUUAGAUACCCUGGUAGUCCACGCCGUAAACGAUGUCGAUUUGGAGGUUGUGCCCUUGAGGCGUGGCUUCCGGAGCUAACGCGUUAAAUCGACCGCCUGGGGAGUACGGCCGCAAGGUUAAAACUCAAAUGAAUUGACGGGGGCCCGCACAAGCGGUGGAGCAUGUGGUUUAAUUCGAUGCAACGCGAAGAACCUUACCUGGUCUUGACAUCCACAGAACUUUCCAGAGAUGGAUUGGUGCCUUCGGGAACUGUGAGACAGGUGCUGCAUGGCUGUCGUCAGCUCGUGUUGUGAAAUGUUGGGUUAAGUCCCGCAACGAGCGCAACCCUUAUCCUUUGUUGCCAGCGGUCCGGCCGGGAACUCAAAGGAGACUGCCAGUGAUAAACUGGAGGAAGGUGGGGAUGACGUCAAGUCAUCAUGGCCCUUACGACCAGGGCUACACACGUGCUACAAUGGCAUAUACAAAGAGAAGCGACCUCGCGAGAGCAAGCGGACCUCAUAAAGUAUGUCGUAGUCCGGAUUGGAGUCUGCAACUCGACUCCAUGAAGUCGGAAUCGCUAGUAAUCGUAGAUCAGAAUGCUACGGUGAAUACGUUCCCGGGCCUUGUACACACCGCCCGUCACACCAUGGGA
rnacentral:rRNA from 1 species